GAUGAACGCUAGCUACAGGCUUAACACAUGCAAGUCGCGGGGCAGCAUGGGGGUUGCUUGCAACCCCUGAUGGCGACCGGCGCACGGGUGAGUAACGCGUAUCCAACCUGCCCUUCACCACGGGAUAACCCGGCGAAAGUCGGCCUCAUACCGUAUGUGGACCAUUGACGGCGUCCGACUUGGACGAAAGGAUUGGCGGGGAAAGGAUGGGGAUGCGUCCGAUUAGCUUGACGGCGGGAUAACGGCCCACCGUGGCUACGAUCGGUAGGGGUUCUGAGAGGAAGGUCCCCCACGCUGGAACUGAGACACGGUCCAGACUCCUACGGGAGGCAGCAGUGAGGAAGAUUGGUCAAUGGGCGUAAGCCUGAACCAGCCAAGUAGCGUGCAGGAUGACGGCCCUAUGGGUUGUAAACUGCUUUUAUGCGGGGAUAAAGUGGCCCUCGUGUGGGCUUUUGCAGGUACCGCAUGAAUAAGGACCGGCUAAUUCCGUG
rnacentral:rRNA from 1 species